rnacentral:rRNA from 1 species
GACGUAGGAGGCGAGCGUUGUCCGGAUUCAUUGGGCGUAAAGAGCACGUAGGCGGUUUGUCGCGUCUGCUGUGAAAACCCAGGGCUUAACCCUGGGCCUGCAGUGGGUACGGGCAAACUAGAGUGCGGUAGGGGAGAUCGGAAUUCCUGGUGUAGCGGUGAAAUGCGCAGAUAUCAGGAGGAACACCGGUGGCGAAGGCGGAUCUCUGGGCCGGUACUGACGCUGAGGAGCGAAAGCGUGGGGAGCAAACAGG